rnacentral:sRNA from 2 species
ACUAUCAAAGCCAAAUCUCAACAAUUGAGAACGGAGGACCCAAUCUUUUGGGGUUAAUUCUGCAUUGCAGGAAGGAUGAUAUAUAUACUCUUUCGCCAUCCUAACCCGUCGGCUAAUGCGAAGGAGAUGGUAAAGGACUU